rnacentral:rRNA from 1 species
UACGGAGGUGGCAAGCGUUGUUCGGAAUUACUGGGCGUAAAGGGCGCGUAGGCGGCAAGGCAAGUCAGGUGUGAAAGCCCCGAGCUUAACUCGGGAAUUGCAUCUGAAACUGCUGUGCUUGAGUUCUGGAGGGGGUAGUGGAAUUCCCAGUGUAGCGGUGAAAUGCGUAGAUAUUGGGAGGAACACCUGCGGCGAAGGCGGCUACCUGGACAGAAACUGACGCUGAGGCGCGAAAGCGAGGGGAGCGAACGGG